UACGUAGGGCGCAAGCGUUGUCCGGAAUUAUUGGGCGUAAAGAGCUCGUAGGCGGCUUGUCACGUCGGGUGUGAAAGCCCGGGGCUUAACCCCGGGUCUGCAUUCGAUACGGGCUAGCUAGAGUGUGGUAGGGGAGAUCGGAAUUCCUGGUGUAGCGGUGAAAUGCGAAGAUAUCAGGAGGAACACCGGUGGCGAAGGCGGAUCUCUGGGCCAUUACUGACGCUGAGGAGCGAAAGCGUGGGGAGCAAACAGG
rnacentral:rRNA from 1 species